ensembl:lncRNA
CCACCACUGUGGCUUAGUGGCAAAGUCUGUAUAGAAGCCAGGAUAGGUAGAAGCUGGGAUAUAGCAAUACCAUAGAAAGUAUUUAUUAAAAAAAAAUUGUUCUUCAAGUAAAAUUCAUCUAUGUAAAGAUCUACAUAAAGGAGAUAUGUCUGCUUCGUUACUUCAGAUUAUUUUUUAGAUAAAUUGUUAAAAUAAUGCCAUCCUGAGAAAUCACUGCCUAAUUCUGAAGUCACAGUUAAGACAGCAUCCAACAAGCCAAAUCCUCCCUGGAGAUGAAUUAGAAACGUCUUUCCUUCAAGAGAAGAAACACAGUGAGGCCCAGGAAUGGAGACCGUAUUAAUCACCCUCUCAUCCGGCUAAAGAAAUACAGAUGAUUAUUGUAUUCUGCAGAAGCAAAGGCUUCUGGUUAUUAGCGCCAGGCACAACUGGAG